GAGUUUGAUCUUGGCUCAGAUUGAACGCUGGCGGCAUGCCUUACACAUGCAAGUCGAACGGCAGCACGGGAGCUUGCUCCUGGUGGCGAGUGGCGAACGGGUGAGUAAUGCAUCGGAACGUAUCCUGGAGUGGGGGAUAACGUAGCGAAAGUUACGCUAAUACCGCAUAUUCUGUGAGCAGGAAAGCGGGGGACCUUCGGGCCUCGCGCUCUUGGAGCGGCCGAUGUCGGAUUAGCUAGUUGGUGAGGUAAAGGCUCACCAAGGCGACGAUCCGUAGCAGGUCUGAGAGGAUGAUCUGCCACACGUGGAACUGAGACACGGUCAGACUCCGUACGGGAGCAGC
rnacentral:rRNA from 1 species